UACAGAGGGUGCAAGCGUUGUUCGGAAUUACUGGGCGUAAAGCGUGCGUAGUCGGUAUUGAGAGUCGCGGGUGAAAUCCCCAAGCUUAACUUGGGAACUGCCUGCGAGACCUCAGUACUAGAGUGUGAGAGGGGAUAGUGGAAUACCCAGUGUAGCGGUGAAAUGCGUAGAGAUUGGGUGGAACACCGGUGGCGAAGGCGGCUAUCUGGCUCACAACUGACGAUCAGGCACGAAAGCGUGGGGAGCAAACAGGG
rnacentral:rRNA from 1 species